rnacentral:rRNA from 1 species
GAUGAACGCUGGCGGCGUGCCUAAUACAUGCAAGUCGAGCGAACGGACGAGAAGCUUGCUUCGCUGAUGUUAGCGGCGGACGGGUGAGUAACACGUGGAUAACCUACCUAUAAGACUGGGAUAACUUCGGGAAACCGGAGCUAAUACCGGAUAAUAUUUUGAACCGCAUGGUUCAAAAGUAAAAGACGGUCUUGCUGUCACUUAUAGAUGGAUACGCGCUGCAUUAGCUAGUUGGUAAGGUAACGGCUUACCAAGGCAACGAUGCAUAGCCGACCUGAGAGGGUGAUCGGCCACACUGGAACUUAGACACGGUCCAGACUCCUACGGGAGGCAGCAGUAGGGAAUCUUCCGCAAUGGGCGAAAGCCUGACGGAGCAACGCCGCGUGAGUGAUGAAGGUCUUCGGAUCGUAAAACUCUGUUAUUAGGGAAGAACAUAUGUGUAAGUAACUGUGCACAUCUUGACGGUACCUAAUCAGAAAGCCACGGCUAACUACGUG